rnacentral:rRNA from 1 species
CACGACGUUGUAAAACGACGGCUGUAACUAUAACGGUCCUAAGGUAGCAAAUUUCCUUGUCGUCUAAAUAACGACCUGCAUGAAACAUAGAACGAUUCAAUAACUGUCUUGUGCACAUGUCAUGGUAAAAUAUUCAUCAGCUCAAAUGAUAUGCUGUAGAAGUAUUGAAUUAUCCAAAGGACAAAAAGACCCUUUGAAGCUUUAUAAAGAUAGAACUUGUGUAAAGGUGGUGAUUAAACAUUCCUGAAUGCAAUCUGAUUGCAUUUAUAAAUAGCUGAAGCUCUUAUCUGAACCUAUAUUAUGUUAGUCCGAUGUUUAAUUGGGGCGAUAGCCUUAUCCAUAACCAACUAAGGUGAACAAAGUGUUACAAGGAUCCUAAAAUAUUAAAUGACCAACUGAUAAGUUUAAAGAUACAUGUUUUGCUUAAUGGCUCAAUAAUCCCUACCCAGUACUUAAAUGUCAUCUUCAUGAGCUUAAGAUUAAUAUAACAGAUUGAAGCUACUCUACGGAUAACAGGAUAGGUAUUUCAUGUUUAGAGCUAUAAUUGGAAAUAAAUUUGCCUCGAUGUCGGCUUGUCUAGAAUCUUAUGCUAUACGUAGUGUCCAGAUAGGAGUGCUCAUCCUUUAAUCAGAUACGUGAGCUGGGUUCAAUACGAUGG